rnacentral:rRNA from 1 species
AUUGAACGCUGGCGGCAGGCCUAACACAUGCAAGUCGAGCGGAUGAAGGGAGCUUGCUCCUGGAUGCAGCUGCGGACGGGUGAGUAAGGCCUAGGAAUCUGCCUGGUAGUGGGGGAUAACGUCCGGAAACGGGCGCUAAUACCGCAUACGUCCUGAGGGAGAAAGGGGGGGAUCUUCGGACCUCACGCUAUCAGAUGAGCCUAGGUCGGAGUAGCUAGUUGGUGGGGUAAAGGCGUACCAAGGCGACGAUCCGUAACUGGUCUGAGAGGAUGAUCAGUCACACUGGAACUGAGACACGGUCCAGACUCCUACGGGAGGCAGCAGUGGGGAAUAUUGCACAAUGGGCGAAAGCCUGAUCCAGCCAUGCCGCGUGUGUGAAGAAGGUCUUCGGAUUGUAAAGCACUUUAAGUUGGGAGGAAGGGCAGUACGUUAAUACCUUGCUGUUUUGACGUUACCAACAGAAUAAGCACCGGCUAACUUCGUG